AGUUAAUGAGCUUGAUAUAAGCAUAUAUUUUGAAAAUAUAACAUAGAAGAAAUAAUCUUCUAUUAACUU
rnacentral:tRNA from 1 species